UAUCUCUGUGAGUCUGCAUAUCAAUAAGCGGAGGAAAAGAAACUAACAAGGAUUCCCCUAGUAACGGCGAGUGAAGCGGGAAGAGCUCAAAUUUGAAAUCUUCAAGGUUCUACCUUGACGAAUUGUAGUUUAAAGAAGUGUUUUCGGUUAGAGGAGUAGUAAAAGUUCUUUGGAAUAGGACAUCAUAGAGGGUGAGAAUCCCGUAUUUGACUAUUCUUUCUAGCUUUGUGAUACACUUUCAAAGAGUCGGAUUGUUUGGGAAUGCAGUCCAAAAUGGGUGGUAAAUUUCAUCUAAAGCUAAAUAUUGGCGAGAGACCGAUAGCGAACAAGUACCGUGAGGGAAAGAUGAAAAGAACUUUGAAAAGAGAGUUAAACAGUACGUGAAAUUGUCAAAAGGGAAGCGUUUGACACCAGUGUUGUUUUUCCGAAAAUCAAUUAAAAAUUGAUUCAUGCCAGGUUGUAUUGACCUUAUCAGCUUGCAAUUUGGUUUUGGGUCUCUUUUUGAUGCACUUUUCGGUUAACAAGUCAACAUCAAUUUCCUUUGCUGUAAAAAGGUAAGAGGAAGGUGGCUUCAAUUUCGGUUGAAGUGUUUAUAGCCUUUUAUCUCUGCAGUCGGGGAGAUUGAGGUCUGCAGCGUAGAUCCUUCGGGGCUAGAUACAUUUAUGCUAAGUUAUAGCUUUUCAUAGACAACUUGUUGACUAUGUUUAGUCAUGUAGCUUACUCGUAAGUGCUAUUUUACCUACGCUUAGGAUGUUGAGCGCAUGUCUCUCUCU
rnacentral:rRNA from 1 species